rnacentral:rRNA from 1 species
AUAGCGUAUAUUAAAGUUGUUGCCGUUAAAAAGCUCGUAGUCGAACUUCGGCCUCUGCCGCCCGGUCCGCCUAUUUGGGUGUGUACUGGAGCGGUGGAGGCUUACCUCGUGGUGAACGAUCAUGCACUUUAUUGGGUGUGGUCGGGAACCAUGACUUUUACUGUGAAAAAAUUAGAGUGUUCAAAGCAGGCUUACGCCCGAAUACAUUAGCAUGGAAUAAUAAAAUAGGACGUGCGGUCCUAUUUUGUUGGUUUCUAGGAUCGCCGUAAUGAUUAAUAGGGAUAGUUGGGGGCAUUCGUAUUCAAUUGUCAGAGGUGAAAUUCUUGGAUUUAUUGAAGACGAACUACUG